rnacentral:tRNA from 27 species
GCCCGGAUGGUGAAAUUGGUAGACACAAGGGACUUAAAAUCCCUCGCCAGCGAUGGCGUACCGGUUCGAUUCCGGUUCCGGGCACCA